rnacentral:lncRNA from 1 species
UGCCCUCAUGGCGGCGCUCCACGAGGCCUGAACCACCACGAUGCUGCUGUCAUGAGUAACAGCAACCCCUUCUCGCCAUGAGAGUCGAUGUAUUAUUGUCGUCCGAGAAGAAUGAGAUCAGUCUCCAUGCGGGUGGAAAUUAGACGGUGUUUUUGUGGUGACGAUGGUGGGGGUGGUGAUGGUGUGGUGUGACGACGGUAUGGUGACAAUGGAAAGACAGAUCUAGAGUUUUUGGUUAGAUCCGGCGGG